CCUACGGGAGGCAGCAGUGAGGCAUAUUGGUCAAUGGGCGCGAGCCUGCACCAGCCAAGUAGCGUGAAGGCUGACUGCCCUACGGGUUGUAAACUUCUUUUAUAAAGGAAUAAAGUGAGGCACGGGUGCCUUUUUGUAUGUACUUUAUGAAUAAGGAUAGGCUAACUCCGUGCCAGCAGCCGCGGUAAUACGGAGGAUCCGAGCGUUAUCCGGAUUUAUUGGGUUUAAAGGGAGCGUGGAUGGGUUGUUAAGUCAGUUGUGAAAGUUUGAGGCGCAACCGUAAAAUUGCAAUGGAUACUGGCAGUCGUGAGUACAGUUGAGGUAUGCGGAAUGCGUGGUGUAGCGGUGAAAUGCUUAGAUAUCACGAAGAACUCCGAUUGCGAAGGCAGCUUACUAAACUGCCACUGACAUUGAUGCUCGAAAGUGUGGGUAUCAAACAGGAUUAGAUACCCCUGUAGUC
rnacentral:rRNA from 1 species